CAGCUACUACUUAANUUACACAUGCAAGNUCUCCGCANCCCUGUGAAAACGCCCUCGAAUUUCUUUAAGAAAUGAGGAGCCGGUAUCAGGCCCAAAAAUUAGCCCAAGACACCUAGCUAUGCCACACCCACACGGGAAUUCAGCAGUGAUUAACAUUGAAAAUAAGCGACAGCUUGAAUCAGUUAAAGUAAAAAGAGCCGGCAAAUCUGGUGCCAGCCGCCGCGGUUACACCACGUGACUCAAACUGACCUCUUCCGGCGUAAAGCGUGAUUAAAGCCCNUCUUACCACUGCAAUUAAACCAGAACUGAGCUGUGACACGCCUAUUCCUGAGAACCCCAAAACCGAAAGUCAUUGCAANCCCCUAAACUUGAACUCACGACAGCUAGAAAACAAACUGGGAUUAGAUACCCCACUAUGCCUAGCCGUAAANCCUUUAUUUACCUCCACACCGCCAGGGAACUACGAGCAAAGCUUAAAACCCAAAGGACUUGACGGUACCCCAUAUCCACCUAGAGGAGCCUGUCCUAUAAUCGAUAAUCCCCGCUUAACCUCACCAUUUUUAGCAUAUCAGCCUGUAUACCUCCGUCGUCAGCUUACCACAUGAGCGCCAAUUAGUGAGCUAAAUGCCCCUACGCCAACACGUCAGGUCAAGGUGCAGCAUAUAAAAUGGGAAGAGAUGGGCUACACUG
rnacentral:rRNA from 1 species